rnacentral:lncRNA from 1 species
UCUUUCACCACGUGCAGCAGCAUUCUCUUGGGAAUGAGCAACAGUAUUCUCCAACUCAGAGAUCCUGUCUAAGGACUUCUGAUACUGCUGAAGACUAGCCACCUUUUCAGCUCCCAAUGCAGAGAGUGCCUCCUUUAAGGUUUGGGCUUCAGAGUGCAGCAGCGUUCUCUUGGGAAUGAGCAACAGUAUUCUCCAACUCAGAGAUCCUGUCUAAGGACUUCUGAUACUGCUGAAGACUAGCCACCUUUUCAGCUCCCAAUGCAGAGAGUGCCUCCUUUAAGGUUUGGGCUUCAGCUUCAGCUUUGCUUGCUCGUUCACCAAAUCCUCGGGAAUCUUCUUUGGCUCGAGAUAUUUCUGACUCCAGAUGAGAUAACUUUUCCAAUGUCUGUUGGUACUGAAUAAGGCCUGCUUCUUUCUCAGCUUCCACUUGG